GUUUCCUCACCUUACCCUGAUGUACUUGGUACUUAAGGGAUUUGUGUAAGCCUCGCUGUGUGACUUGAAGCAUCCUGGACUAACUGCAGAAGAGCAACACGGAGCCCUGAAGCGGCUUGUCUCCUCAUCCCUCUCCAAAGCCAGCACCUUAAAGGAUCAGCUCAUAAUGGGGACUGAUUGCCUGUUUGAUCUUGUGUUUUAUUGGUGUUCUGUGGGGAGAGAUAGGAUGGAAUUGAGGUACAGUACAGGCUGUGGGACGCACCUGCAGAAUGCCAUGGCAGCAGAGAGAGGCACAUGGCAGCACAGAGAAGCUUGUCUCCACCUGACUUUGGGGGGAGGAGCUGCCACACGGCUGACUCCUAUGGAGAGGAGCCUGCUGGAAGGUGACAGACCCCUGAAGAGCAGGUGAUCACCCCAUAUAGGGACAUUAUGAAAGCGUGUUGCUGACAUGGCAAUGUGUGAUGGGUCCCAUAUAGGGAAAUACUGUGUCUUGAAGAAGUGUAUAAAACCAGCUUGUUUCCUUGAAUAAACGAUUCAGAUC